rnacentral:rRNA from 1 species
GUUAUAUGGUCAAGCGAAUAAGCGCACACGGUGGAUGCCUUGGCGGUCAGAGGCGAUGAAGGACGUGGCAGCCUGCGAAAAGUAUCGGGGAGCUGGCAACAAGCUUUGAUCCGGUAAUGUCCGAAUGGGGAAACCCACCCGCUUGCGGGUAUCCUGCAGUGAAUACAUAGCUGCUGGAAGCGAACCUGGUGAACUGAAAUAUCUAAGUAACCAGAGGAAAAGAAAUCAACCGAGAUUCCGUAAGUAGCGACGAGCGAACGCGGACUAGCCCUUAAGCUGAUUUGGUUCUAGGAAAACGCUCUGGAAAGAGUGGCCAUAGAAGGUGAUAGCCCUGUAUCUGAAAGGGCCAUUUCAGUGAAGACGAGUAGGGCGGGGCACGUGAAACCCUGUCUGAACAUGGGGGGACCAUCCUCCAAGGCUAAAUACUACUGACCGACCGAUAGUGAACCAGUACCGUGAGGGAAAGGCGAAAAGAACCCCGGAGAGGGGAGUGAAAUAGAACCUGAAACCGUGUGCGUACAAGCAGUAGGAGCUCCGCAAGGAGUGACUGCGUACCUUUUGUAUAAUGGGUCAGCGACUUACUGUUCGUGGCAAGCUUAACCGUAUAGGGGAGGCGAAGGGAAACCGAGUCUGAUAAGGGCGCAUAGUCGCGGGCAGUAGACCCGAAACCGGGUGAUCUAGUCAUGCCCAGGGUGAAGGUGCGGUAACACGCACUGGAGGCCCGAACCCACUCCCGUUGCAAAGGUAGGGGAUGAGGUGUGAUUAGGAGUGAAAAGCUAAUCGAACCCGGAGAUAGCUGGUUCUCCUCGAAAGCUAUUUAGGUAGCGCCUCAUAUGUAUCCUCUCGGGGGUAGAGCACUGUUAUGGCUAGGGGGUCAUCGCGACUUACCAAACCAUUGCAAACUCCGAAUACCGAGACGGACUGUAUGGGAGACACACGGCGGGUGCUAACGUCCGUCGUGAAAAGGGAAACAACCCAGACCCACAGCUAAGGUCCCAAAUUUUGUGCUAAGUGGAAAACCAUGUGGAAAGGCACAGACAGCCAGGAGGUUGGCUUAGAAGCAGCCACCCUUUAAAGAAAGCGUAAUAGCUCACUGGUCGAGUCGGUCUGCGGGGAAGAUUUAACGGGGCUAAGCACAGAACCGAAGCUUGGGGUGCAUAACUUUGUUAUGCGCGGUAGAGGAGCGUUCCGUAAGCCGUUGAAGGUGGAUUGAGAAGUCUGCUGGAGGUAUCGGAAGUGCGAAUGCUGACAUGAGUAACGAUAAUGCGGGUGAAAAACCCGCACGCCGAAAGCCCAAGGUUUCCUUGCGCAACGUUAAUCGGCGCAGGGUGAGUCGGCCCCUAAGGCGAGGACGAAAGUCGUAGUCGAUGGGAAGCAGGUUAAUAUUCCUGCACCUCGCGUAAGUGCGAUGGAGGGACGGAGAAGGUUAGGUGUACCAGGCGUUGGUUGUCCUGGGGAAAGGCGGUAGGUUUGGAUCUUUGGCAAAUCCGGGAUCCUUCAAGACCGAGCACCGAGACGAGCCUUUAAGGCGAAGUCACUGAUACCACGCUUCCAGGAAAAGCUCCUAAGCUUCAGCUUACGCAGACCGUACCGUAAACCGACACAGGUGGGUAGGAUGAGAAUUCUCAGGCGCUUGAGAGAACUCGGGUGAAGGAACUAGGCAACAUGGCACCGUAACUUCGGGAGAAGGUGCACCCUUUUUGGUGGCUCGUGCGAGCUAUAGCUGAAGAGGGUCGCAGUAACCAGGCCGCUGCGACUGUUUAUCAAAAACACAGCACUCUGCAAACACGAAAGUGGACGUAUAGGGUGUGACGCCUGCCCGGUGCUGGAAGGUUAAUUGAUGGGGUCAGCCGCAAGGCGAAGCUCUUGAUCGAAGCCCCAGUAAACGGCGGCCGUAACUAUAACGGUCCUAAGGUAGCGAAAUUCCUUGUCGGGUAAGUUCCGACCUGCACGAAUGGCGUAACGACAGCGGCGCUGUCUCCACCCGAGACUCAGUGAAAUUGAAAUCGCUGUGAAGAUGCAGCGUUCCCGUGGCAAGACGGAAAGACCCCGUGAACCUUUACUAUAGCUUUACACUGAACGUUGAGUUCGUCUGUGUAGGAUAGGUGGGAGGCUAUGAAACCAUGGCGCUAGCUGUGGUGGAGCCAUCCUUGAAAUACCACCCUGUCGUGCUUGACGUUCUAACCUAGGCCCAUUAUCUGGGUCGGGGACCGUGUAUGGUGGGUAGUUUGACUGGGGCGGUCUCCUCCUAAAGAGUAACGGAGGAGCUCGAAGGUACGCUCAGCGCGGUCGGACAUCGCGCACUGUGUGCAAAGGCAUAAGCGUGCUUGACUGCAAGAUCGACGGAUCAAGCAGGUAGGAAACUAGGACUUAGUGAUCCGGUGGUUCUGUAUGGAAGGGCCAUCGCUCAACGGAUAAAAGGUACUCCGGGGAUAACAGGCUGAUACCGCCCAAGAGUUCAUAUCGACGGCGGUGUUUGGCACCUCGAUGUCGGCUCAUCACAUCCUGGGGCUGUAGUCGGUCCCAAGGGUAUGGCUGUUCGCCAUUUAAAGUGGUACGCGAGCUGGGUUCAGAACGUCGUGAGACAGUUCGGUCCCUAUCUGCCAUGGGCGUUGGAGAUUUGAGAGGGGCUGCUCCUAGUACGAGAGGACCGGAGUGGACGAACCUCUGGUGUUCCGGUUGUCACGCCAGUGGCAUUGCCGGGUAGCUAUGUUCGGAAGCGAUAACCGCUGAAAGCAUCUAAGCGGGAAGCGCGCCUCAAGAUGAGAUCUCCCGGGGCACAAGCCCCCUGAAGGAACCAUGUAGACUACGUGGUUGAUAGGUCAGGUGUGUAAGUACAGCAAUGUAUUGAGCUAACUGAUACUAAUGAUCCGUGCGGCUUGACCAUAUAACCU